CGUGUAGGCGGAUUGGCAAGUCAAGCGUGAAAUCCCUCGGCUCAACCGAGGAACUGCGUUCGAAACUGCCUUUCUUGAGUGUGGAAGAGGAGAGUGGAACUCCUGGUGGAGCGGUGAAAUGCGUAGAUAUCAGAAGGAACGCCGGCGGCGAAAGCGGCUCUCUGGUCCACUACUGACGCUGAGGCGCGAAAGCCAGGGUAGUGAACG
rnacentral:rRNA from 1 species